CAAACAGGUUCGCUUCAUCGAGAAGAAAGAGAGAAAGAGAUUGGCAAGUGGCCCAGCCCCCAAUCCCCAUCCCCGAUUUCUCUCCCUCUCCCUUUCGCUCGUCUGCCGCCGCCGCCACCACCGGCGCCCUCCCCGUCGCCGUCGCCACCACUGGCGCCCAGGUGUGGCGCUGCUCUUCCCCACCCGGACGAGGUCGAUGCGCCCCCUGCCACACUUCCUUCUCCAACGCGUCAUCAUAUUCAGAGGAGCCGCGGCUGCUCGCGCAUCUGCUCCACCUGGAGUUGUCGCCAUCAGCAGGAGGAGUGCCGGACCACCGCUCCGGCGGCCCGUUGUUUCUGGCCGCCGUCCGCCUCGUUGGCCCUCUUUUUGGCUUGCCUCUGGUCUCAAGCAAACUUCCCCUCCUCCUCUCGUCGCGCCACUCCACGCAUCCUGCAGCGCCGAGGAAGGUGGACCAGCGACGGCCGGAUCCCGGAGGAAAAUAUGGCAGUGGGAUGCAAGACGAAGCUAAUCGGCGGCGGUGGGUGAGGCGGCGGGAGGCGACGGCGACGGGCAAAUCGGUCAACGAUAGAUACGGUUCGGUUCCGUCCGGCCUUCCGCGCCAAGGCCCGCGGCGAGGAGUUCUCCUGCAAGACGCAAAAACAUCAAGGACACGGUCCACCGGGAGGUCGAGAUCAUGCAACACCUCUCGGGCCACCACGGCGUCGUCACGCUCAAGGCCGUCUGUGGCGGCUGCAUAUCGAGGCGGCGGCUGCAGAUCGAAGCAGCUGAAAGGGAUGAGAUGACUCGGAGUCAGGGGCUACAUAUCCCUGCUAUCCUUGAUUUUGUGUCCAAUAUUUGAGAUGAGGCAUGAGUGACUUUGAGGAGAUGUACAAUGCAAAGUUCAGAGAUCAACACUAUAAUGAUGUGUGUGGCCGAACAUUUAUAUAUCAAGGUCUGUACUUCCAAAGUUUCUGAUCUAGAAAUUUACCUAAGGUUGUACUGAACAAAUACAAAGUUUCUGAUCAUAUACAUAUCUUAGGUAACUAUAAUAAUGUGUGGUUGUGUCCUUGAACGUUCAUAUAUCAAGGUCUAUACUUCCAAAGUCGACCUAGAGCCCCGUAAAAAGGAUUUACAUAGAGCCUCAUAAAAGGGAUUCAGUUAAGAGGGAUUCUGUUGUUUUUGUUAGAAAGCUCAGAGGUGUAAUAAUUCAUUGUCCUCUGUUCAAUAACUUGUCUUCCACUUCCUACCACGUAAUACCUGAGAAUAUAGUUUUAAUCUUCUCCAGUAUGAACGGAUUUUCUUUCUUUUAAAUUCCACACAAUGGAACAACGAUGGUUUCCACUUUUUUGUUUUAUGAAAUUCAUCUUCUUGCAAAUUUAUAGCUCACUACCUCAUGUUUUUAUGUUCCAAUAUGUUCAGAUAAUUCAUUGAGAUUUGACUUUUUGCACCCGCAAGGUAAAUCAAAAGUUCAGAACUUAAAAGGCUUCGUUAACUUUAAGAGAGUGGAAGGGGCGCCUCCAACCUGGCACUGCCCAAACUUCCUCUUAUAUGUGAUGUUUUCAGAUGCAUGUAUGCUUACUUGCUAAAUGAACUAUGCAUGCUUUCUUCUUAAAAAGUUCAGAUCUGGCCACCAAGGGGCAGUAUCCAUCAGCUAAAGAUGCAGUACGAAGAUGACCCAGUAAAAAGUAUUUAGUUCUUCAUGCUGAUUUAAAAAAAUACAAUUAACCAGUUCCUCCUUUUAAAUUUGAUAUUGAUAUAGUUAUCAUUUUGAUGCUUAGAGCUCAUCAUUUUGUAGGAAGAUGUCCGGGUUCUCGUCAAAUGAAAGCUGCACUACUAUAAAAAAUGGAAACAAAAGAACACCGGGCAGUCUCAUUCCGCACUGCAUUUGCACAGUCUGUCUUACCAGUGGACUGUAAAGCAAGAACAAAGCAUGAUAAAGGCGAACGACAUCUUUCUUCUUGGCCGGAUGACAUUUAUUUACAAUAUGGUAUUGUCUUUAGAAUUUCUCGUGUUGGUGUUUUCGUGUACUUAAUUAUGUGAUGGUGAUGAUUAUACACUCCUCACUUAUAGGAAUAGUGACCAUGCUGUGUACAUUGUAAUCUCUUUCCUGUUUUUCCUUUAUAGGAAUGAUAAGACUUCCUACAGUAGGCUUAAUGAGAAUUUCUUGUUUAUGGAAGUGUUCGGUACUUUAAUACAGCUCAGUAUACGCAUGUGUGGAUAGAGUUAACAGUGAUAUUGCGACAUCUCUUCACAGGAGCAAAGCUGAUUGCCCUGUCCCAGAGGUGCUGGAACAGUGAGCAUGUCACUGUUUCUAUAAAUGUGCUUUUUUUUCUCAGACGGGUCAUAUAGUUUCUACAAGCAAUGAUCACUGUUAGCGUGGAUGGCUCUGUACUUGACAGGAUUGCCAAAAUCAUGUCAUACCUUAGAUUUGGAUCAUCAGGGAAGGUCUUGAAGAACAAGAAAAAGAAGAGGGAUACAAAAGGUAUAUGCUUCAAAAUGAAAGUGGUUGUUCUAUCAAUCUAUCAUAGUAGAGGAUGUUAGAGUGAGACCUAAGAACAGGAUUACAGGAAAGCUUUCUUUAUCAAGGCGUGAGAAAACAUGCUAGAGUAAUUUUCUUAGAUGAAGGAGAAAUGUUGGAUGAGUGUUUAUAUUUUAACGGACAUCGAAAAGUCUGGCCUUUGUUUAGAAAGUUUAGUCAUGUUACAAAGCUCAAAUUUAUUAUUAUUUUCUUAGUCAAGUUGACCUAGGAAGUGAAGAUUGAACUAUGUCAAGGGGUCAUGGCAUGGAUUUCUUAGUUAUCAUUUCUGGACCACCAUGCCACUGCAUUCUCUAAAUCAAAUUUUGCUUGGUUGCUCCCCUGGUGAUCCUGUUUGUUGUGGUUGGUGCUUCAGGUUUGCUCCUCCUCCCCUCUUUCACCAGAUUUUCUCAAUAUGGCCAUUACACACAAUCAAGAUGUGUACAACUACAAGAAGGUGUGAUUGGCUAUGUUGAUGUGCUUGUUUUUCCUAUAUGCAGGUUUGCCUAAUUUAUUUGAUCUAUUAUUUCUUUGCAUUUUGCAGAUCCAGGUUUAAAUAUAACAUGUCAUACCAUAUGAUAAUGCUACUCCGUCUACACUAGGAUCACGCUAAUUAGUUGAUGAAUAAAUAAAUUCCUAUAUCAAAUAUGUCAACUGAUGCUUGAUGUUCUUGCUGUAUUAAUUAGUAUUUUAUGAAUAGAUAAAUUCCUAUAUCAUGCUAAUUGCUAACUACUCCCUCUGUAAAGUAGUGAUCUAAACGCUCUUAUAUUUCUUUACGGAGGGAGUAGUUGAUAAAUAUAUAAAUUCAUAUAUCUAAUAUGUCAUCAGCUGUUGAUGUUCUUGAUGUACUCAUUAGUAUCUUAUGGAUAGAUAAAUUCCUAUAUCAUGCUAAUUGCUAAUUAGUUGAUAAAUAGGUAAACUCCUAUAUCUAAUAUGUCAUCUGAUACUUGAUACUGUUGCAGUACUAAUUAGUAUCUGAUGCGCCUUCAAGUUCUGAUGCAAUUUAGAACAUCCCUCUUUAAGCAAAAGUCUGGUUGACAGUCAAAAAAAUUGUAGCUCUCAAUCUAGGAAUCACUUGCCCUUACUAGCGUGUUGAUAGAUUGACAAAAUGUCUAGCUACCUGAAGUAUAUUGCUUUCCCUUUUUAUAUCCUCAAAGUUGUUGGUCAUAAUGUCUUAUUGAUUAGAAGCAAUAAUACAAAUUACUGAUACACUUGCCUGGUAAAAUGAUUUGAUAUUCUGAUACACGGUGUCGCCUGUCACAGAAUUGAUACAUAUAGUUAGAACGCAGACCAUAUUCUGCUGCUUAGCCUUUUUCGUGUGCGUCUGAUAUUGUAGCUUGUUCAUUUCUAUCAGUAAGAUACACAUUAACUCUUUCCUUCUCUGUAAUAUGUAAUUCCGAGUGUGUUACUUUGACUUUUCCAAUUGCAAUACAAAAG
rnacentral:rRNA from 1 species